GCCGCCCAGCCCACGACCGAGGCCUGGGCAGCCGCUGCCAGGAGCCAAGAUGGCUGCGACGAGCGCUGACGUCACGCGGGCGGCCACCGUGCGCGGCUGACCCUUUCCUGCCGGGACCCGGAAAUUAUCUCCCAAGGCGGAAGUAAACGGCGCGCGACGGGACAGAAGACGGCCGCUGGCGGGACGGCCACAGGGGCCCAGGCGGGUCAGGGAGCAGCGCUGGCUGAGGCCCGGCGGCCAGAGGGAGCGGGAGGGAAGGUGCGGGGCCUGGGCUGCUGCCUCCUGGGCACGUCUAGCUUUCGAGGGUCACACCGCGGGGAGAGGUGACAUUUUGAAAAGGUAAUGGGGGCCACGAUCCCUCCAGAGGCUAUAGGGAGGACCCUUCCUGCCUCUUUGAGCUCCUGGGGGCUCUGGGAGCUCCAGGCGUCCUUAAGAGGCUUGUGGCCGCGUGGCUCCAAACUUGUUUUUGUUUUGUUUUGUUUUGUUUUGUUUUUUGAGACGGAGUCUCGCUCUGUCACCCAAGCUGGAGUGUAGCGGCGCGAUCACGGCUCACUGCAAGCUCCGCCUCCCGGGUUCUCGCCAUUCUCCUGCCUCAGCCUCCCGAGUACCUGGGACUAGAGGCGCCCGCCACCACACCUGGCUAAUUUUUUUGUAUAUUUUUUUUAGUAGAGACAGGGUUUCACCGUGUUGGCCAGGAUGGUCUCAACCUCCUGACCUCGUGAUCCGCCUGCCUCCGCCUCCCAAAGUGCUGAGAUUGCAGGCGUGAGCCACCGCCCCCGGCCCAAACAUUUUUUUUUUUUUUUUUUUUUUUUUUUUGAGAUGGAGUCUCCCUCUGUUGCCCAGGCUGGAGUGCAAUGGCAUGAUCUCGGCUCACUGCAACCUCCACCUCCUGGGUUCAAGUGAUUCUCCUGCCUCAGCCUCCCGAGUAACUGGGACUACAGGCGCGCAGGCCACCACCCCUGGCUAAUUUUUGUAUUUUUAGUAGAGACAGGUUUCCACCAUGUUGGCCAGGUGGUCUGCCCACUUUGGCCUCCCAAAGUGCUGGGAUUACAUAUGUGAGCCACCAUGCCCGGCCUCAACUUUUUUUGAGACAGAGUCUCACUCUGUUGCCCAGGCUGGAGUGCAGUGACAUUAUCUCAGCUCACUGCAGCUUCCACCUCCCAGGCUCAAGCAAUCCUCCCACCUCAGCCUCUCCAAUAGCUGGGACCACAGGUGCGCACCACCACACCCAGCUAAUUUUUGUAUUUUUUUGUAGAGACAGGGUCUCACUUUGUUGUCCAGGCUGGUCUCCAACUCCUGAGCUCAAGGGAUCCUCCCGCCUUGGCCUCCAUAAGUGCUGGGAUUACAGGUGUAAGCCGCUACUUCCUGUCGUCUACUCUCUGUAUUUUGCAAAUAAAACGUUUGCAGGUCAUGUCAAACAUCAAGUGAUUGAUCUGUGGGGACGCAGGCGCCUUCCUCAGAGCCCCUCCCUCCCCUGCUUCUGCCCCAGCCAGCCUUGUGCAUCUGCAGAUACCGAGGCUGCUCAGGGGCGCUCUGCUGUCCACUGAGUGCGAGGAGUCUCAGGCGCUGCAGGGACCCGGGUGCUGCCACACGGGUGGACAGCCCAUGGUGGCCGGUUGGAGGCCUCUAGCACAGACCCUGCACACCUGGAGGCUUCUGCUGGCAAAGCCCUGGGACCUAAGACCAGAUGCCCAGGGCUAUGGCCCACUUGGGAUGACACACAGGGUCCCCAGAUGUGUGCAUCUACCCCAGUGACCCCCUUUUUGGGAUGCUUGUGUCUGUUCUGGGGCUGCUCUGGGCCCCAGGGGUUGGGGGUGGG
rnacentral:lncRNA from 10 species